rnacentral:lncRNA from 1 species
AACAACAUACUACUUUCAUAAAAGAGAGCAUCAACAGUUGAGGGUUCUUCUGUCGAGAGGGGACUAUGACAAGAAUACUGAACUUCAUAACAGUUAGCCUUGGUAGUUUUCUAGUCCCCAUGGCCACAACCCUACAUGUAGGUAGAUCUGCACUUGAAAGGCAACCUUAAACUUAAGGCCCAAACACCAAAAUUAAAUUCC